rnacentral:rRNA from 1 species
AACUUUCAACAACGGAUCUCUUGGCUCUAGCAUCGAUGAAGAACGCAGCGAAAUGCGAUAAGUAAUGUGAAUUGCAGAAUUCAGUGAAUCAUCGAAUCUUUGAACGCACAUUGCGCCUGGCAGUAUUCUGCCAGGCAUGCCUGUCCGAGCGUCAUUUC